rnacentral:rRNA from 1 species
UUAAGCGACUAAGCGUACACGGUGGAUGCCCUGGCAGUCAGAGGCGAUGAAGGACGUGCUAAUCUGCGAAAAGCGUCGGUAAGGUGAUAUGAACCGUUAUAGCCGGCGAUGUCCGAAUGGGGAAACCCAGUGUGAUUCGUCACACUAUCGUUAACUGAAUACAUAGGUUAACGAGGCGAACCGGGGGAACUGAAACAUCUAAGUACCCCGAGGAAAAGAAAUCAACCGAGAUUCCCCCAGUAGCGGCGAGCGAACGGGGAGCAGCCCAGAGUCUGAAUCAGCUUGUGUGUUAGUGGAACGGUCUGGAAAGUCCGACGGUACAGGGUGAUAGUCCCGUACACCAAAAUGCACAGGUUGUGAACUCGAAGAGUAGGGCGGGACACGUGGUAUCCUGUCUGAAUAUGGGGGGACCAUCCUCCAAGGCUAAAUACUCCUGACUGACCGAUAGUGAACCAGUACCGUGAGGGAAAGGCGAAAAGAACCCCGGCGAGGGGAGUGAAAAAGAACCUGAAACCGUGUACGUACAAGCAGUGGGAGCACCUUCGGGUGUGACUGCGUACCUUUGUAUAAUGGGUCAGCGACUUAUAUUCUGUAGCAAGGUUAACCGUAUAGGGGAGCCGCAGGGAAACCGAGUCUUAACUGGGCGUUAAGUUGCAGGGUAUAGACCCGAAACCCGGUGAUCAGCCAUGGGCAGGUUGAAGGUUGGGUAACACUAACUGGAGGACCGAACCGACUAAUGUUGAAAAAUUAGCGGAUGACUUGUGGCUGGGGGUGAAAGGCCAAUCAAACCGGGAGAUAGCUGGUUCUCCCCGAAAGCUAUUUAGGUAGCGCCUCGUGAAUUCAUCUUCGGGGGUAGAGCACUGUUUCGGCUAGGGGGUCAUCCCGACUUACCAACCCGAUGCAAACUACGAAUACCGAAGAAUGUUAUCACGGGAGACACACGGCGGGUGCUAACGUCCGUCGUGAAGAGGGAAACAACCCAGACCGCCAGCUAAGGUCCCAAAGUCAUGGUUAAGUGGGAAACGAUGUGGGAAGGCACAGACAGCCAGGAUGUUGGCUUAGAAGCAGCCAUCAUUUAAAGAAAGCGUAAUAGCUCACUGGUCGAGUCGGCCUGCGCGGAAGAUGUAACGGGGCUAAACCAUGCACCGAAGCUGCGGCAGCAACACGAUGUGUUGUUGGGUAGGGGAGCGUUCUGUAAGCCUGCGAAGGUGACCUGUGAGGGUUGCUGGAGGUAUCAGAAGUGCGAAUGCUGACAUAAGUAACGAUAAAGCGGGUGAAAAGCCCGCUCGCCGGAAGACCAAGGGUUCCUGUCCAACGUUAAUCGGGGCAGGGUGAGUCGACCCCUAAGGCGAGGCCGAAAGGCGUAGUCGAUGGGAAACAGGUUAAUAUUCCUGUACUUGGUGUUACUGCGAAGGGGGGACGGAGAAGGCUAUGUUAGCCGGGCGACGGUUGUCCCGGUUUAAGCAUGUAGGCUGAUUAUCCAGGCAAAUCCGGAUAAUCAAGGCUGAGGUGUGAUGACGAGGCACUACGGUGCUGAAGUAACAAAUGCCCUGCUUCCAGGAAAAGCCUCUAAGCAUCAGGUAACAUCAAAUCGUACCCCAAACCGACACAGGUGGUCAGGUAGAGAAUACCAAGGCGCUUGAGAGAACUCGGGUGAAGGAACUAGGCAAAAUGGUGCCGUAACUUCGGGAGAAGGCACGCUGGUGUGUAGGUGAAGUCCCUGCGGAUGGAGCUGAGACCAGUCGAAGAUACCAGCUGGCUGCAACUGUUUAUUAAAAACACAGCACUGUGCAAACACGAAAGUGGACGUAUACGGUGUGACGCCUGCCCGGUGCCGGAAGGUUAAUUGAUGGGGUUAUCCGUAAGGAGAAGCUCUUGAUCGAAGCCCCGGUAAACGGCGGCCGUAACUAUAACGGUCCUAAGGUAGCGAAAUUCCUUGUCGGGUAAGUUCCGACCUGCACGAAUGGCGUAAUGAUGGCCAGGCUGUCUCCACCCGAGACUCAGUGAAAUUGAACUCGCUGUGAAGAUGCAGUGUACCCGCGGCAAGACGGAAAGACCCCGUGAACCUUUACUAUAGCUUGACACUGAACAUUGAGCCUUGAUGUGUAGGAUAGGUGGGAGGCUUUGAAGCGUGGACGCCAGUCUGCGUGGAGCCAACCUUGAAAUACCACCCUUUAAUGUUUGAUGUUCUAACGUGGGCCCCUAAUCGGGGUUGCGGACAGUGUCUGGUGGGUAGUUUGACUGGGGCGGUCUCCUCCCAAAGCGUAACGGAGGAGCACGAAGGUUAGCUAAUCCUGGUCGGACAUCAGGAGGUUAGUGCAAUGGCAUAAGCUAGCUUGACUGCGAGCGUGACGGCGCGAGCAGGUGCGAAAGCAGGUCAUAGUGAUCCGGUGGUUCUGAAUGGAAGGGCCAUCGCUCAACGGAUAAAAGGUACUCCGGGGAUAACAGGCUGAUACCGCCCAAGAGUUCAUAUCGACGGCGGUGUUUGGCACCUCGAUGUCGGCUCAUCACAUCCUGGGGCUGAAGUAGGUCCCAAGGGUAUGGCUGUUCGCCAUUUAAAGUGGUACGCGAGCUGGGUUUAGAACGUCGUGAGACAGUUCGGUCCCUAUCUGCCGUGGGCGCUGGAGAAUUGAGGGGGGCUGCUCCUAGUACGAGAGGACCGGAGUGGACGCAUCACUGGUGUUCGGGUUGUCAUGCCAAUGGCACUGCCCGGUAGCUAAAUGCGGAAGAGAUAAGUGCUGAAAGCAUCUAAGCACGAAACUUGCCCCGAGAUGAGUUCUCCCUGAGACUAUAAGUCUCCUGAAGGAACGUUGAAGACGACGACGUUGAUAGGCCGGGUGUGUAAGCGCAGCGAUGCGUUGAGCUAACCGGUACUAAUGAACCGUGAGGCUUAACCU